rnacentral:sRNA from 1 species
AAACAUGCACUACAGCGCCGCGCGUCUUAUCAGACGCGCAAAGGUCGCUGUAGCACUUCGAUCUGCUGCAUGUUUUUGUCCUUUAAUCGGAUACGAUUAAAGGAAACAUGCAGUCGUCUGAAACGUCGAGAAGCCAUGCAAAAAUCCGUCGAGGCCAUCGGCCCUUGAAUGAUGGAGGGCCUGCGCCCGGCCGGCGCUUUGCUGAGUACAAGUCCCCAUCCCGGCCGAAACAAGGGCGGGAUGGGGAAUGGAGAAGG